rnacentral:lncRNA from 1 species
GGAUACUGUAAAAUUGUCUGAAACCCAUCAACAAAAUUGUGCAUUUAGUUAACAUUAUUAGGUGUAAAAUAAUGUAUGUGAGGUUGUAACCUAAACCCUAAACCAGGUGCAAAACCAUUUGCGAACAGAAGAGAAAGAGGAAAACCUUACCGAUCGUUUUACCCAAGCGACGCAGAGGAGUGCGGGGGUACACGACUGUCACGGUCGACGGUCGACGAGCAACAACAGAAGGGUCAGUAAAUGGCAAUGUAGCAGUGAUGGUUGGGGCACAGCAGACUAGGGUUCUAAAUUUGGGGGAUUUUUGGGGAAAAUUUGGGGGGAAUUUUUGGGGAGAAAACUGAUUUGUCGGGUAAGGGAUUGGACUAUUUGGGAUGAAAUACAGACACUAUAAAACGACAGCGUCUUACCAAACUGAACAUUUGUGGCGUUUCUAAUAUAGCGCCACUAAUGCCCUUAAGGUGUCAUGUAAAACGACAGCGUUUCUCUAAAAUGGGCAGAAAAUUUACGGCGUUUUAUAUAAUAGCGCCGCUAAAACCUACCUACAGUGGCGUUUUAGGCGUUGCGCCGCUAAAUCCGAAUAAAAAAUUCCCAAACAAAAAUUACAUCGUUUUGCCCAAACUAAUAAUAUUUUUCCGGCGUUUAUGAAUAAAACGCCGCUAAAUCAAUUUUUCGUGGCGUUUUAUACAAAAACGCCACUAAUACAUUAAUUUCUUUUAUUGAAACGCCAUCGUUUUCAGAUAUUUUAAAACAUUGUUUUUUUAAUUAAUAUUAAAAAAACAAUAUAAAAUUAAAAAUUGCGGCGUUUUCACCUGAGCGCCGCUAAUACCAUUAAUAUGC